CGGCGCGGCGCGGGGGACGCACGCGGAGCUUGGUCACCUCACCGGCUUCCCUCUGUCCUCCUGCACGGUAGUUAUAAGAGGCCUCUCCGCCUCACCUCGCCUCCUCUCCUCUCUUCUCUCCGCUCCACCCACUCCUGCUCUUCUGCUCUUUGUUCGAUCUGUGUGCGCGGCGGUCUGGGUUGGGGGGAUUUGAAACGGAGGGGAAGAAGAAGAUCUGUGGGAAAUUGAGGGGUGAGAGCGGCGGAGGCGAGGGAUGGAUGGGCACGGAGGGGGAGGAGGAGGUGGGGGUGGGGGUGCGGGUGGUGUGGGGAAGCUGACGCGGACGCCCUCGUCGCUGCUGCGCUCGCCGACGGUCCGCAACUGCGCGUCGUUCCAGGCGGUGGUGGUGGAGGACCCGGAGCCCGACGACAAGAAGGAGCAGGCGCAGGCCAAGCCCCCGCCGCACCUGCACCCGCACCUCCUCCGCGCCGCCGCCGUCCCGGCCCACCCGCUCCUCCUCCUCGCGCUCCCCCUCGCCGUCCUCCUGCUGCUCCUCCUCCUCCGCGACGACCACCACCACCUCCUCCUCCUCGCGACGGCCGCGGCUGCCGCGCUCGCCGCGGCGGCCGGAGCCGCGCGGCUCCUCCGCGGGCGCCUGCGGCUCCGCCGCUCCUCGGGAUCCGGGUCCGUGCAGUGGUUCAUCGGUGACGAGGACGACAAGCCUCAGAAGCGGGACAAGGGGAAAGGCGGGGCGCACGGCCGCGUCGUGCGCGAGGGCGUGGAGUUCUACAGCAAUGGGGACUGCUACGAGGGGGAGUUCCACAAGGGCCGCUGCAACGGCAGCGGCGUCUACACCUUCUUCGGCAAGGGCAAGUACGAAGGGGACUGGGUCGACGGCAAGUACGACGGCUACGGCAUCGAGAGCUGGGCGCGCGGCAGCCGCUACCGCGGCCAGUACCGCCAGGGCCUCCGCCACGGCCACGGCGUCUACCGCUUCUACAGCGGCGACUGCUACGCCGGCGAGUGGGCCGGUGGCCAGAGCCACGGCAUCGGCGCGCAGACCUGCUCCGACGGAAGCUCCUACGUCGGAGAGUUCAAGUGCGGUGUCAAACACGGCCUCGGCAGCUACCAUUUCAGAAAUGGUGAUCGGUAUGCUGGGGAGUACUUUGGGGACAAGAUCCAUGGAUUUGGUGUCUACAGCUUUGCCAAUGGCCACUGCUACGAAGGCUCCUGGCAUGAAGGCAAGAAGCAAGGAUUUGGGAUGUACACAUUCCGCAACGGCGACAAGCGAUCGGGGGACUGGGAUUCAGGGACUCUGAAGACCCCCCUUAGUCCAACUGAUCCUUCUGUUCAGCGUGCUGUACAGACAGCUUCAUGGAGUAGGUGCCGUGUGAGCUUCAGAUAAAUCAUGCAGAUUUCUUCAGAUUAUGUGGGAAAACAAGACUGGUUCGGUCCGCUAGCUCACGGUUGAACGUUGUUCAUGUCAAGAUGAUGAUGCUGCAGGUCAGCUUAAUUCAUAACUGCUUGUAUUGAUCUUUUUGCCUAAUUUUCAGCUUCUUGGUGGUGCAUUUGUUCAGCUUAAUUUUGCAGAUCGGGGUGAGUAGUUGGGGUGGUGCUGGUGGGUAGUGGAUCAUGGAACCAGGUAACACGGACUCGCUUUGAUGGAUAAAGAGGGGGCUGAAUUUGAGCUAUUCUGUUGGUGUGGUUUGACAUCCAGGCUUCCAGAUGAACUGGUUGAGUAGCCUUAAUUCCUUGAAGAGGUGCUUGCAGACUACAUUGAAUUCUGGAGUUGGACAAAGGGAAUUUUCAAUCCUUCCCUAUUACUAGCACUAUAUUCAAAGGAGUAGAAUAUACUCUCUCUCUCUCUCUCUUUUGGCGAGGAAAGGAGUGAAAUAUACUGGGAACCAUGUAAACAAAUGUGUAUCUUUUUUUUUGACAUAAGCCCUUAGUUGUCAGUUUGUAAUUGCUUUUAAGCAGAGGCUAUGGACAUGACAUGAGUACCAGAUUAGUAGUUUGAGCUAAUU